GUCCAAUCUGAAUUCCAGACAUUUUGAUGCCGUUAUAACAAGUCUUUGAAUUCCUGCCAUACCUCCUAUUUCCUCUCUUGCUGUAGGAAAAAAACAGCAGUGUAACUGAAGUACACAACCAUGAAUUAAGAGACAUGACAUCUCUUUCCAGACCAACCCCAUGUCGACAGGUCCUCCACUGAGCCAACGAUGGAGAAACUGCACAAUGAGACCAGAUUGGCCUUCCAUUACUCUUCUAAGUGAGUGUGGCGAUAAAAUGCCAACAGUGCAAUUACAGAGUUGAAGGUCUGCUCUUUAUUUAAUCACUACAAAGCAAGGAGAAUGCCUUCUUGUACUGCCUCACCAUGAGCUUGUUACGGAGGGGUCUGCUGGGAGGAUUUUAAUCAGAGGACUCAAAGUAUACUUCAUUAUUCCGAGACUGAAAAGAACUAGUAAGAAGAUGACGUUUGGCAGAGUGGGCUCUAGUCAACAGGCAAGAUGCCAAAUGAAGACUACAGAGAAGGAAAACUGGUAGGAUAACCCAACUCUGCUUCUUGUACUACUCUGCUACCUGUGCACUACUUGAUCACGUGCCAUCCCCGUUCAUUCUGGUAGCAGACGUGGUCAGUGGGACUGUGGAUAACAAAUGGGUAAAGAAGCUUAUUUCUCUAAAGCACAUUGUGACAACUAAUUAACUCAAGUUAGUUAAUGCCUCACCUGACAUACAUCUUCUCUUGUACCAUUUAAGCAAUAAGGUUGUGGGAAUGCUGUAUUACACUGGCUUUGAGAAAUAGGAAAAAAAUCUAUUUUACGUAACAAUCUAAUUACAAGAGGUUCCAACCUAGCAAGAAGCCCUUGUUCAAACAUUACCUGUUGCAUAUGAAGUUGUGCAUAGAUAUCACAAUUCACACCAAUAGAACAUAACUCUACUAAGAACGUGACUUCAGAAUAUUAUGGCUUGAAAUGCAAAUCACUAACCAAGGUCUCAUCUGCAAACAUAACCCUUAAGAGCUGGCAGAAAGUGUUCCUCUCCUUUGGAAGUAAUGGCUAUUAUUACACACUGGUAUUCGAGAUCUUCUAUGAAACAUACAUUUAAACAGCCUAUAGUUGUGUAAAUUUAUUGCCUUAGAAAUAUAUAAGAUAUGCUGAUAUGGGGUAACACUGUAAUCCAUCCACCUUCUCCAUUGUUUUUAAAUAAUCAGAAACACAUAUUGAACAAAACCCUGUCAGCUGUAGCAGCCAGUGACCUUUGCUGGAACCAAAACUGCAGGCCAAAGGCAUUCUGCACACCCUUAGGACAUCAUCAGUGCUGCAUCACCAAGAGGAAAGAGAGUCCGAGCGCUGGGUGGCUCUAAACCAAUACAGAUAGCACAAAAGGAUACAAGUUGCCAUUUCCUUGGGUAAAAAUAGCAAGGGCAUGCAGCACAUUACUGUUUUAUAGUCUGGGCAAUGGGUUGCUUUCCCAAAGGACUCUGUCUCCACACAUAACGUGACACAAUCUGAUAUAAGGCCACAUACUCAGUCUUAAAAGAAGGCAGCACAACAAUGCUAGGAUUGUAACCUGCUCACUCUACAAAGUCUUCUUCUGUUCAAUCGCAAUGGAGCUGUGCAGCUGAUUUGAUCAGAAAAUCUUAUACUUACUUUGAAGGCAGGGAGAGGAUUUCUCUAAAGCGUAAUGUUUUUUCUUCAGUCUAGUUCUGACUUACAAGUCAUUAAAAAUUACCUUGACUCAAAGCAGGAGUUUUUCCAAUGUUUUUUGA